rnacentral:rRNA from 1 species
AUUGAACGCUGGCGGCAUGCCUUACACAUGUAAGUCGAACGGUAACAGGUCUUCGGAUGCUGACGAGUGGCGAAUGGGUGAGUAAUACAUCGGAACGUGCCUAGUAGUGGGGGAUAACUACUCGAAAGAGUGGCUAAUACCGCAUGAGAUCUACGGAUGCAAGCAGGGGAUCGCCAGACCUUGUGCUACUAGAGCGGCCGAUGGCAGAUUAGGUAGUUGGUGGGAUAAAAGCUUACCAAGCCGACGAUCUGUAGCUGGUCUGAGAGGACGAUCAGCCACACUGGGACUGAGAAACGGCCCAGACGCCUACGGGAGGCAGCAGUGGGGAAUUUUGGACAAUGGGCGCAAGCCUGAUCCAGCAAUGCCGCGUGCAGGAUGAAGGCCUUCGGGUUGUAAACUGCUUUUGUACGGAACGAAAAGCCCCGGGUUAAUACCCUGGGGUCAUGACGGUACCGUAAGAAUAAGCACCGGCUAACUACGUGCCAGCCGCCGCGGUAA